rnacentral:rRNA from 1 species
GACGAACGCUGGCGGCGUGCUUAACACAUGCAAGUCGAACGGAAAGGCCCUGCUUUUGUGGGGUGCUCGAGUGGCGAACGGGUGAGUAACACGUGAGUAACCUGCCCUUGACUUUGGGAUAACUUCAGGAAACUGGGGCUAAUACCGGAUAGGAGCUCCUGCUGCAUGGUGGGGGUUGGAAAGUUUCGGCGGUUGGGGAUGGACUCGCGGCUUAUCAGCUUGUUGGUGGGGUAGUGGCUUACCAAGGCUUUGAGGGGUAGCCGGCCUGAGCGGGUGACCGGCCACAUUGGGACUGCGAUACGGCCCAGACUCCUACGGGAGGCAGCAGUGGGGAAUAUUGCACAAUAGGCGGAAGCCUGAUGCAGCAACGCCGCGUGCGGGAUGACGGCCUUCGGGUUGUAAACCGCUUUCGCCUGUGACGAAGCGUGAGUGACGGUAAUGGGUAAAGAAGCACCGGCUAACUACGUG